AUGAUUUCGUCACGGUGGUCAUUUAAAUGCCAUGUCAUUUCAGUUUGUUUCCUCACACAUCUGGUUUAUCUCAUAUUUUGUCUGCCUCUGUUCAUGACCUCGACUCAUGACGCAAUAUCCUCCAUUUCAAACUGGAAUCAGCCUUCUUCGGUCCAGACCAACAUACUCGUUCAUCAAGAGAAAAUAAAAAUGAUAAAUAUAAAUCUUACAUUCUCCGACGCCUCUUCAAAGCUUUAG